rnacentral:lncRNA from 1 species
AGAGGGUGGAGGAGCUUGUGUGUGUGUGGGGGGGGCAAGGUCCUUCCAUUCCUGCUAGUUAAUCUUCUCCUUAGCACUAACAUAAAGGAUGGCUGGCCACUUGGAUGCUUUUCACAAAGCUGGACCAUUAGGGAACUUGCUGGUGUGUGAGAACAUUCUCAGUGGCAUCUUCUGCAUCUCGGAAAAUUCUCUGGAGAAGGAGGGAGCUGAAGAAAUUCUGUCAUGCGCUGUUACCUGAUGCCUUAAGACUCUUGCAGACCUGAUGGGGAUCUCCUGGCAGGAGGGGGGUAAGGAAGUGGGGCAUGAUAAACUCUCCAGCUCGACACUGGGCACACGCUCUCACCCGUAGACCAUUGUGAGCACAGCAAGACCAUAUUCUUGUCUCACUUCCUGUGCGGUGCCCAGGGCUAGCUCCUUCCACAAGAAUCUUCAGGUUAAUCUAGAGGACCCAAGAAAAGGGGUUCAGGUACACCUUUCACGUCAUUCCCCAAGUAGAGCUUUGCCUGCAGUUUGAAGCUUGGGUCUCACCUUCCUGUGCCGGGUGUAAGGAGCCCUAGGUAGGGCUUCUGGUCUGUACCUCAUCUCUGGGUGUCACAGAGAGCGUGUUUGGUAUUGGAUUCCACUAAGAAUUCUACUCAGUUUGGAAGAACCAUUUGUCCUUUCAGUCCUUGGUCUGGAUUCCUGGUUCCAGGACAGUUGUGGCAGUGGAAGAUCUUGAUGGGCACUGAGCCUUGUUCUGAGAAUCUUCCAUAGGAAGACCCAAGAGCCAGACCCAGGAGCAAUUAUGGCUACCGGAACUUUGUGGGUUUUUCUGCUUUCUUCCCAUGGAAGUACUGCCUCCAGUCACAGAGGGACAACGUGUCCUCAUUUUCCCGAGUCCCUCGGCAUCUGAACCCAGUAACAUGAAGCAGUUCCUUGUGUUGGUGCUGCCUCGACAGGCCAGCUGCUUCACACAGCCAGAAAGGUGCCAACUUUUGUGUCGUGCUAUCAGAAUGGAAUGUUUUAAUUGAGAUAUUUAGCUAAGAUAAACAAGACUUUUC